GUCCACGCUGUAAACGAUGGGUGCUAGGUGUAGCGGGUAUCGACCCCUGCUGUGCCGUAGCUAACGCGUUAAGCACCCCGCCUGGGGAGUACGCACGCAAGUGUGAAACUCAAAGGAAUUGACGGGGGCCCCGCACAAGCGGUGGAGGAUGUGGUUUAAUUCGACGCAACGCGAAAAACCUUACCAGGGCUUGACAUGUAAAGAAUCUCUAUGAAAGUAGAGAGUGCCGCAAGGAGCUUUAACACAGGUGGUGCAUGGCUGUCGU
rnacentral:rRNA from 1 species